CAACCUGUGCAGAUGGUGGUGAUGUUCGUGCAGGGGCGCCGGUGGGGGCCGCUCCUUGUGUGUGCGUGUGUGAGGUGUGAGGGAUGAGUGUUUGUAUUUGCAUACAACCUGUGCAGAUGGUGGUGAUGUUCGUGCAGGGGCGCCGGUAUGGGCCGCUCCUUGUGUGUGCGUGCGUGAGGUGUGAGGGAUGAGUGUUUGUAUUUGCAUACAACCUGUGCAGAUGGUGGUGAUGUUCGUGCAGGGGCGCCGGGGUGGGCCGCUCCUUGUGUGUGCGUGUGUGAUGUGUGAGGGAUGAGUGUUUGUAUUUGCAUACAACCUGUGCAGAUGGUGGUGAUGUUCGUGCAGGGGCGCCGGUGUGGGCCGCUCCUUGUGCGUGCGUGCGGCCGGCGGCAGUGCUCGCAGCAGUUGCGAGGGGCAUGAGCCCGACCUGUA